rnacentral:rRNA from 1 species
AGCGAACGCUGGCGGCAGGCCUAACACAUGCAAGUCGAACGAACCUUUCGGGGUUAGUGGCGGACGGGUGAGUAACACGUGGGAACGUGCCUUUAGGUUCGGAAUAACUCAGGGAAACUUGUGCUAAUACCGAAUGUGCCCUUCGGGGGAAAGAUUUAUCGCCUUUAGAGCGGCCCGCGUCUGAUUAGCUAGUUGGUUGAGGUAAUGGCUCACCAAGGCGACGAUCAGUAGCUGGUCUGAGAGGAUGAUCAGCCACAUUGGGACUGAGACACGGCCCAAACGCGGAGGGAGGGCAGCAGGGGGGAGGCUGGAGGAGUGGGAGAAAGCACGACGCAGCCAUGAGGGGAGGAUGAUGAAGGUCUUAGGUGAGUAAAAUUUUUGCGCAGGAGACGAUAAUGAGGGAAGCGGGAGAAGAAGACCCGGCUAGAUGCGUGCCAGCAGCCGGGGUAAGCAGCGGAAGAGCAGCCGGCUGACA